UAAUACGGGGGGUGCAAGCGUUGUUCGGAUUUACUGGGCGUAAAGGGCGCGUAGGCGGGCCUCCAAGUCGGAUGUGAAAACUGGCAGCUUAACUGCCAGCCUGCACUCGAUACUAGGGGUCUUGAGUACGGAAGAGGAAAGCGGAAUUCCAGGUGUAGCGGUGAAAUGCGUAGAUAUCUGGAAGAACACCAGCAGCGAAGGCGGCUUUCUGGUCCGAUACUGACGCUGGAGCGCGAAGGCUAGGGUAGCAAACAGGAUUAGAUACCCUGGUAGUCCUAGCGGUAAACGAUGGGUACUAGGUGUCGGGGGUAUCGACCCCCUCGGUGCCGCAGCUAACGCAUUAAGUACCCCGCCUGGGGAGUACGGUCGCAAGAUUG
rnacentral:rRNA from 1 species